AGUGAACGCUGGCGGUAGGCCUAACACAUGCAAGUCGAACGGCAGCACAGUAAGAGCUUGCUCUUACGGGUGGCGAGUGGCGGACGGGUGAGGAAUACAUCGGAAUCUACUUUUUCGUGGGGGAUAACGUAGGGAAACUUACGCUAAUACCGCAUACGACCUACGGGUGAAAGCAGGGGAUCUUCGGACCUUGCGCGAUUGAAUGAGCCGAUGUCGGAUUAGCUAGUUGGCGGGGUAAAGGCCCACCAAGGCGACGAUCCGUAGCUGGUCUGAGAGGAUGAGCAGACACACUGGAACUGAGACACGGUCCAGACUCCUAAGGGAGGCAGCAGGGGGGAAUAUUGGACAAGGGGCGCAAGCCUGAUCCAGCCAUACCGCGUGGGUGAAGAAGGCCUUCGGGUUGUAAAGCCCUUUUGUUGGGAAAGAAAAGCAGCAGGUUAAUACCCCGCUGUUCUGACGGUACCAAAAGAAUAAGCACCGGCUAACUUCGUG
rnacentral:rRNA from 1 species